AAGACCUUGCGCUUUUGGAGCGGCCGAUGCCUGAUUAGCUUGUUGGUAAGGUAAAAGCUUACCAAGGCUUCGAUCAGUAGCUGGUCUGAGAGGACGACCAGCCACACUGGGACUGAGACACGGCCCAGACUUCUACGGGAGGCAGCAGUGGGGAAUUUUGGACAAUGGGGGCAACCCUGAUCCAGCCAUGCCGCGUGAGUGAAGAAGGCCUUCGGGUUGUAAAGCUCUUUCAGCCGGAACGAAACGGUUACGGUUAAUACCCGUGACUACUGACGGUACCGGAAGAAGAAGCACCGGCUAACUACGUGCCAGCAGCCGCGGUAAUACGUAGGGUGCGAGCGUUAAUCGGAAUUACUGGGCGUAAAGCGUGCGCAGGUGGUUUUGUAAGUCAGAUGUGAAAGCCCCGGGCUCAACCUGGGAACU
rnacentral:rRNA from 1 species